rnacentral:lncRNA from 1 species
CCCGCGCUCCUCCGGGCAGAGCGCGUGUGGCGGCCGAGCACAUGGGCCCGCGGGCCGGGCGGGCUCGGGGCGGCCGGGACGAGGAGGGGCGACGACGAGCUGCGAGCAAAGAUGUGCCCCGGGACCCCCGGCACCUUCCAGUGGAUUUCCUUGCGGAAAGGAUGUUGGCGGUCCCUGUGACCUGUGGAGACACGGCCAGAUCUGCCCUCCAGAUUUAUUAGGAGAAAAACCUUCCCGGAAGCUGCAGAAGGACAAAUACAGAAUCCGUGUCUGGGAGAAACCUCGUGGCCUGGUCUCCAUUAUUUGAGAUGAGUUACAUCUUGGAGGCCUGAUCUUUUGGCCAGAAGGAGAUUAAAAAGAUGCCCCUCAAGAUGGCUGUGCCUGUCAGCUGCAUGGAGCUUCGUUCAAGUAUUUUCUGAGCCUGAUGGAUUUACAGUGAUCUUCAGUGGUCUGGGGAAUAACGCUGGUGGAACCAUGCACUGGAAUGACACACGCCCGGCACAUUUCAGGAUACUAAAAGUGGUUUUAAGGGAGGCUGUGGCUGAAUGCCUCAUGGAUUCUUACAGCUUGGAUGUCCAUGGGGGACGAAGGACUGCAGCUGGCUGAGAGGGUUGAGAUCUCUGUUUACUUAGAUCUCUGCCAACUUCCUUUGGGUCUCCCUAUGGAAUGUAAGACCCCGACUCUUCCUGGUGAAGCAUCUGAUGCACGUUCCAUCCGGCGCUCAGCUGGGCUUGAGCUGACCAUACUCCCUGGAGCCUUCUCCCGAGGUGCGCGGGUGACCUUGGCACAUACAGCCAUCAUGAUGGUACUUUAAGUGGAGGCUGAAUCAUCUCCCCUUUGAGCUGCUUGGCACGUGGCUCCCUUGGUGUUCCCCUUUUACUGCCAGGACACUGAGAUUUGGAGAGAAUCCUGUUACACCUGGGAUUUAGGCACUUUCAAUCUGAAAAAAUACAUAUCCUUUCAGCACUCUGGACGGACUUGAGAACUGUCCUUACGUGACCUAAAGCUGGAGUAUUUUGAGAUUGGAGAAUUAAGGCCAACAGAGAUUUUGAGAAACACAUUGAAGGAUCUGUUAACACUUGAUAUACCCAAUAAAAGCAGUGGUUGUGCCAGUGCUGAUCUGUCUUGAUGUGAAUGUGAACAAUGGGAACCUGAGCUGAGCAGUUAAUGCUAGGGUGACAGAAACUGGACCUCUCCCAAGACAUGUGACAGAGUAAUACAGCAGCCAACUUCUUCGCCAAAUUAAAGUUUUACAAGAUUUAACCUGUCAUCAAGACCUGGGAUUUUGGUGAGCCAGUCUUGGUGCUCUGUGUUCACCUGGUUCAUCUGAGGAGCUGCAUCUACCCUGCCCAUGCCAUAGAUCCUGCCCUGUUUGCUUCUCCUGUUGCUGCUAGUGGACAUGAGGACAGAAUAACGGGCUCCCAGAUUCACAAGCCCCACCAAGAGGAUCACCCCAGGAACGCUUGGAGGCUGAGGAGUUCACUGAGGCUACUGCAUCUUGAGACUCAGGAUGAAGACCCAGCUUGGGGCUGUCAAAGGUUUUUUGCAUGUCUGACACCCAUGACUCCACCUGGACCUUAUGGCUCCACCCAGAAGCAAUUCAGCCCAACAGGAGGACAGCUUCAACCCAUUACGAUUUCAUCUCUGCCCCAACCACUCAGCAGCAAGCACCUGUUACCUGUCCACCCCCACCCCUUCCCCCAAACUGCCUUUGAAAAAUCCCUAACCUAUGAGCUUUGAAUAAGAUGAGUACGAACUUCAUCGCCCACGUGGCGUGGCCGGCCUCGUGUCUAUUAAAUUCUUUUUCUACUACAA